CACAUAAAAGGCAGACAGUUCAAAGAAAGGCAAUCAAACCCUAAUCCUAGACCCCAACGAUUAAACCAGGUGACAGGCAAAGGUAUUCCUCUUUCCCUCCAUCGCCUCGACCCAGCCCUUACAGGAUCAGUAUUAGGCUUUAAAAUGAAGGAAUGAAAAAGGCCAGGACAGUCCACUUCCUCAGUGAGAAGGGAGCAGCAAACUAACUCCUAGGUGUAACUGAGAGGCCGGCACCAUCGGAAACUCGGCCUGCGGCCAGUUCCUGCGGUCACUGCUCGGUGACUCGGGCAGAGUGAGCGCGCGUGUGCGUUUUGUGUGAUGUGCGUCUCCGGUGUGGCGGUAGCGGCUCGGGCACCGCCACUGCGAGUCCCACCCCGAGUUCGGUCCCCCUUUCUGGUGCCCAUCUCCCUUCUCUUCGGAAGCAGGGUCUCUGCUGGGGCCAGGAGGUGACGAACAGUGACCGGCUCUUCCCCGCCACGCCAAGGACGUCACAGCCCCGCCCAGCAACCAUUGAGCUUCAGAGCCAGCCGUGGAAGCGUCAGCCUAGAGCGACCGUAGAGAAUGAAGAGAUGCCCUUUUCAGAAACGGAAGUGGACAUGAUAUCAUCGGCGAGCCGCCUAUAAAGAGAGGGCGGGAUGUGCUCUUCAAAAGUUACGUAAUGGAUGAUACUCUCUUGUUUUGUUUUUGGGCCACACCAAGUGGCUUUUGGGACCUUACCCAACCAGGGAUUGAACCUAAGGCCCUCAGCACUGAAAGCAUGGAGUUCUAACCACUGGAUGGCCGAGGAAUUUCUGAGAGAUUCACUUUAAUCAUUUUUUUAAUGGAGACAUAAACAUGAGAUAUUCAUUUAUAGUUACAAAUGUAUUUACUCAUAGAUACUUCUGUCUUUAAAUGACAAAAAUGAAUUUUAGAGAGGUCACAUAAAGCUAUCCAGUUCCAUGUACCACAUUAUAGAAGUUAAAGAUGGAAGCUACUAACCCAUUCGCCUGUCAGUUCCUCGAGGUCAUAUUGUACCUAUCUUGCUCACCAUUGUUUCCCUCGGACCUAGAUUACACCAGUAUUCAAUAAAUACCCACUGAAGAAGUGAAUGCCAACUUGCAGGAAUCACCCCAAUAAAUGGGUUAAGGGUUGAAAAGGCAGUUGAGCCCAGGGCAAAGAGCAGCAUUGUUAGCAUCACACAAAACUUAAUUUAGAUGAUAACCCUGCUAUUUGCUACUUCUGUGAGUUUGAACUGAUAAGGUAAUCUUAAUACAUUUUAACUAUAAAAAUGUACCAAUAUUUAUAGGGUUACUGAGAGGAGUAAGUGUGAUAAUACAGGUAAAGUUUGUAACACAUUGCCUGGUUCAUGGUGGGUACUUGCUUAAUAGUAGAUAUUUUUUUGCAGUCUCUAAUUAAAAGCUAUUCAAAUAAUGAUUUAAUAAGCUGAAAAUGAAGAUUAAUAUAGACAACAAUUACUAUAAAUGUGUAAUAUGUGUGGUGAUAGCUAUACUAUGCAGUAUACAUUCAUGCUUACUCUAUGCCAAGCACAAUCUGCAAAUUUUUAACAUGAAAUCAAGUGCAUUAAAUCAUCACCAUAUGAAUUGUUAAAGUUACUCUUGCUUUUAUGGAAGAGGAAACGGGGACACUGAAAAGUAAGAGGUGGAGGUGAACCUGGAAUUCAGGCAGAGAAAUACAAAAUAUCAGAGAGGAAACAUGGCUAAUCUUGGUUUCACUAACCUUGAGUGUGUGCAUGCUAAGUCGCUUUACUAGUGUCUGACUCUGUAUGACCCUGUGGACUGCAGCUUGCCAGGUUCCUCUGUCCAUGGGAUUCUCCAGGCAAGAAUACUGCAGUGGGUUGCCUUGCCUUCUUCCAAGGGAUCUUCCUGACCCAGGGAUUGAACCUGUUUCUAACCUGCAAUGGCAGGAGGGUUCUUUUACCACUAGUAGGUUCUUAAUCCGGGCUAUAAGCCCAUAUAUUUCCCUAUACCAUUGUCAAGUUCUUAUACAUUAGAAUCAUCUGAAAGUCUUCUUAAAACAGUUACAAUCUGGUACCACUGAAUUUUUGAUUCAGUAGAUUCAGUGGAUGGGCCCCCCAAACACACAUUUCUAACUAGUUCCCAAAUGGUGAGGCUGCUAGUCUGGAGACCACAUGUUGAGAACCCUGGCCCUAACUCAGUCACUUGUUUAGACUAUUUCACAGUUUCUCUCUUCUCUCCUCAACUGAUGAAUUUGAUUCUUAUUUUCAGUAAUAAAAUAAUAGAAAUCAAACAGAACUUCUGUAUAUUCUCAUUAUAUCUGUGAUGUGGUACCUAAAUUUGUACUUUUAUUUUCUGUCUUCUGUUACUAGUGCAAUAAAUCCCAUCCUUCUUGCUUAUAAAAGCUUCCCUCUAAUGUGAUCUCCCAUAUCUACAAAAUAACCAUAACAAAACAAAAAACUCUUGGGAUCUCAUAACAUUUUCUACCUCCUCAUUACUAUUCCCCUUCAUAUAGAAACUCUUUGAAAGGGUUGUUUAUACUCGUUGUCUCCAGUAUCUCUUUGGUAUUUGCUGUGAAAGUGCUGCACUCAAUAUGCCAGCAAAUUUGGAAAACUCAGCAGUGGCCACAGGACUGGAAAAGGUCACUUUUCAUUCCAAUC